UACGGAGGGUGCAAGCGUUAUCCGGAUUCACUGGGCUUAAAGGGUGCGUAGGAGGGCAGGUAAGUCAGUGGUGAAAUCCUGGGGCUUAACCCCAGAACUGCCGUUGAUACUAUCGGUCUUGAAUGUCGUGGAGGUGAGCGGAAUAUGACAAGUAGCGGUGAAAUGCAUAGAUAUGUCGCAGAACACCAAUUGCGAAGGCAGCUUGCUAUGGUAUGAUUGACGCUGAGGCACGAAAGCGUGGGGAUCAAACAGG
rnacentral:rRNA from 1 species